UGAGCAAUCUGCCCUUCUCAUCGGAAUAAGCGUUGGAAACGACGUCUAAUGCCGAAUACGACCUCCUUUCGCAUGAUCGGAGGUGGAAAGCUCCGGCGGAGAAGGAUGAGCUCGCGGCCUAUCAGCUAGUUGGUGUGGGUAAUGGCUCACCAAGGCGACGACGGGUAGCCGGCCUGAGAGGGACCGGCCACACUGGGACUGAGACACGGCCCAGACUCCGUACGGGAGCAG
rnacentral:rRNA from 1 species